UAAUCUGGCAGAGAAAGUCGCUGUAAUCACAAAUGCUUGCCCUUGUUUUCAGUUGAACACAGUCACCAUGGGCAGGGUAUGAAUUUGAAUGGAAUACAGGUUUGUACACAAGAUCUGAUCCCGGGGUGGCAUGGGCAGUUCUGUUCUUGAAGUGGAGGGGAGAGUGAAGAAGGCUUUUUAUGCCAACAGGGACAAAGAAGUGCGUGCAUGCAAAAAUAGACAUGAGCGAAGGAGGGGGAAAAACACAAGUCCAGAGAGCAUGUCAAAAGUCUGUAUAUUCCCCUGACUCCCACAGCUCUUCUGAUGUGUUUUUGCAUUUUUUUUCCUGAUACUAAUUCUCUUUACUUUGUUUCCCUGUUCAGUAUGUCGAGACUUCGCUAUUCUGGAAGAUCAUACCUUGGCCCAUAACUUACAGGAACAAGAGAUUGAGCAUCACUUGGCUACAAAUGUUCAGCGUAAUCGUCUGGUGCAACAUGACUUGCAGAUGGCCAAGCAACUGCAAGAAGAGGAGGAUAAGAAAGCACGUGCUCAGAAACACCAAAAAGACUUGGAACGACAGGACUGCGAGAUCGCUCAGGAAAUCCAAGUGAAGCUCACAUUUGAAGCAGAGGAGCGCCGCAGGCAAGAGGAAAAAGACGAGGUAACCUUUAAAGCUGCAGGGAUGGCAGGGCUAUUUGUAGCAGUCCUUUCAGGUCAGGCAUUUCUUGGCCAGUAGCCA
rnacentral:lncRNA from 1 species